rnacentral:lncRNA from 1 species
AAAAAGGGCUCGAUAUUAAAUCGAGAAAGUAUGGUUUUUAUAGUUUAAAAAAAUGGUUUUUUGAACUAAAUUCAAAUACAAUAACUAUGCAUUAUUAACAAAUGAAAUUAUAAUAAACAUAAAAAGAUAUUAAUCAACAUAAAAAAUGCUAAAGGAAGAUACAAUCAAAUAAAAAAAACAAAAAGAAAUAAAAUGCCAAAAACAGCCCCACAUGAGUAUUGAACCCACCCCACUCAAGAAUAUGAACACUGCCCUUCUCCACUAGGCCACUCAUCACUAUCUAUUACUAAGAUACUAUAGAACCCACCCCACUCAAGAAUAUGAACACUGCCCUUCUCCACUAGGCCACUCAUCACUAUCUAUUACUAAGAUACUAUGUUAACUAUAUGAACCGGACUAACAGAUUUAAAACAAAAUAAAAAAAAACAAAAUAAACAUUUUUACAUUUUCUGAUUUUUUAUUAAAAAGAACAAAAUAAAUAUUUUUGUGGGUUUUUUAUCUCUGUUAAAAAACAAAAAUAAACUAAAUAAAUAAAAGUAAAUAAUAAUAAUAAAAGAAAAUAAAAGCAUAAACACUUUUCUGAUUUUUUAUUAAAAAGAACAAAAAUAAAUAUUUUUGUGGGUUUUUUAUCUCUGUUAAAAAAAAACAAAAAUAAACUAAAUAAAUAAAAAGUAAAUAAUAAUAAUAAAAGAAAAUAAAAGCAUAAACACUUUUCUGAUUUUUUAUUAAAAAGAACAAAAUAAAUAUUUUUGUGGGUUUUUUAUCUCUGUUAAAAAAACAAAAAUAAACUAAAUAAAUAAAAAGUAAAUAAUAAUAAUAAAAGAAAAUAAAAGCAUAAACACUUUUCUGAUUUUUUAUUAAAAAUGAAAUAAGAUCAAAUAAUAAAAGAAAUAAAUAAAAAGAAAAAAAGGAAAAUGGAAACAGAAGCUCGUCUCUCUCACACGAGCUCAAACCUUCAGCAACAAUGGCAUCUUUCCAUCUCUCACACGAAUCCCUCUCUCGCUCUCAACAAACCCC